CCGGCGCACGGGUGCGUAACACGUAUGCAACCUACCUUUAACUGGGGCAUAGCCCCGAGAAAUCGGGAUUAAUACCCCAUAACAUUGCGAAAAGGCAUCUUUUUGCAAUUAAAGUUCCAACGGUUAAAGAUGGGCAUGCGCGACAUUAGCUAGUUGGCGAGGUAACGGCUCACCAAGGCUACGAUGUCUAGGGGUUCUGAGAGGAUUUUCCCCCACACUGGUACUGAGACACGGACCAGACUCCUACGGGAGGCAGCAGUAAGGAAUAUUGGGCAAUGGGCGCAAGCCUGACCCAGCCAUGCCGCGUGCAGGAUUGACGGCCCUAUGGGUUGUAAACUGCUUUUGUAUGGAAAAAAACCCCCGGUCGCGCACGGGGUUGAUGUUACCAUAAGAAUAAGCAUCGGCUAACUCCGUGCCAGCAGCCGCGGUAAUACGGAGGAUGCAAGCGUUAUCCGGAUUCAUUGGGUUUAAAGGGUGCGCAGGCGGAACGGUAAGUCAGUGGUGAAAGCCUACAGCUCAACUGUAGAAUUGCCAUUGAUACUGUCGUUCUUGAGUAUAGUUGGAGUGUGCGGAAUGUAUCAUGUAGCGGUGAAAUGCUUAGAUAUGAUACAGAACACCAAUCGCGAAGGCAGCUCACUAAGCUAUAACUGACGCUCAUGCACGAAAGCGUGGGGAGCAAACAGGAUUAGAGACCCUGGUAGUCCACGCCCUAAACGAUGAUCACUCGAUGUUGGCGAUAUACAGUCAGCGUCUGAGCGAAAGCAUUAAGUGAUCCACCUGGGGAGUACGAUCGCAAGGUUGAAA
rnacentral:rRNA from 1 species